UUUCAAAAUCAGAUUGAGGAGAUGGGCGGUAUUAGCAGCAAUGAUGGAUAAUAAAUUGUUCUUCUGCUGUUUUUUUUUCUUCGCUUUUUAUUCUUAUUCAUGUUGUUAAAAAAAAUACUACAGGAAAGAAAAAAAAAAGUUUUUUUUUUUUUUCAUUUUUUUUUUACGACU
rnacentral:ribozyme from 14 species